rnacentral:tRNA from 1 species
ACUAAUUUGGCAGAUAAGUGCAUCGGAUUUAGAAUCCUAAAAUGUAAGUUGGAAUUUACAGUUAGUA